rnacentral:rRNA from 1 species
UGUCAGCGUAUACCAAAGUUGUUGCAGUUAAAACGCUCGUAGUCGGAAUUUGGCAGUUCCGGAAGUGUGCACGUCGUGUGCGCACUUUGCGGGGACUGCUUUUGUGGUCUUGCGUAGGAUGAGGCACUUUCAUUAGUGAACGUCCUCACGCAACCACUCUUUACUGUGAGAAAAUCAGAGUGCUCAAAGCAGGCAUUUGCCGUGAAUGUAUUAGCAUGGAAUAAUAGAAUAGGACUCGGUUCUAUUUUGUUGGUUUGUUGGGACUGAGUAAUGAUUAAGAGGGACAGUUGGGGGCAUUUGUAUUCCGGCGCUAGAGGUGAAAUUCUUAGAUUGCCGGAAGACAAACUGCUGCGAAAGCGUCUGCCAAGGAUGUUUUCAUUGA